GAUAUGUACAAGUAUUUCCAGCAAGAAACGAGCAUGAAAUAGAGAAACUAACGAAUUUGUUGAGCGGAGCAGGAAUGCGUGCAAGGCUACAAACUAGUUGUUCUUGCUAUAAUUGUGGUACUUAUCAAUGUUAUUGCAGAGGUUGUAGCUCAGAAAUGUGCUGAAGCAAGAGCUAUAUGGAUGUUUCAGCAGUAGGCUGUGACUAAUUCAUACGACUCACGAGUC
rnacentral:misc_RNA from 1 species